AUUGAACGCUGGCGGCAGGCCUAACACAUGCAAGUCGAGCGGAUGAAGGGAGCUUGCUCCUGGAUUCAGCGGCGGACGGGUGAGUAAUGCCUAGGAAUCUGCCUGGUAGUGGGGGAUAACGUCCGGAAACGGGCGCUAAUACCGCAUACGUCCUGAGGGAGAAAGUGGGGGAUCUUCGGACCUCACGCUAUCAGAUGAGCCUAGGUCGGAUUAGCUAGUUGGUGGGGUAAAGGCCUACCAAGGCGACGAUCCGUAACUGGUCUGAGAGGAUGAUCAGUCACACUGGAACUGAGACACGGUCCAGACUCCUACGGGAGGCAGCAGUGGGGAAUAUUGGACAAUGGGCGAAAGCCUGAUCCAGCCAUGCCGCGUGUGUGAAGAAGGUCUUCGGCUUGUAAAGCACUUUAAGUUGGGAGGAAGGGCAGUAAGUUAAUACCUUGCUGUUUUGACGCUACCAACAGAAUAAGCACCGGCUAACUUCGUG
rnacentral:rRNA from 1 species